GUAACAGCAGCCACGUGCUGGCCUCGGCGAUGUCUGUGGAGGCCAGGGAGACACAUAUGCGUCCAGCACCCGGGGCACGGCCAGCCUGUCCUCCGGAGACCGUGCUCUGAAGUGGGGGAGGGUCAGCAGCCCACAGGAGCCCCUUCCCUGCCCGGGUGUGUGCCCUACACCUCACCCAAGGGCCCUUGUGGCCCCCUGACCGACGUAGGGAUCACAGCCCCACUUGCUGUGUCUGGAGGGUGAGGCUGGGGGAGGAUGACUAAGUGUCCAGGUGGCAGAGCCUGACCCCUUCCUGGCCCAACACCCACCCUGACCCGCGGGCCACACCGCUGUGCUGGCCCCUCCCCAUUCUCAACCGGCUGCCUCACAGGGAACUGCAAGGUGGUGGCCAGCGCUUUGGGGCAUUUCCAGGACGUGGUCCACUGGGCCCCCAGGGCUGCUGACACUUCCAAACUCAAGUGUGAGAAAAGUGCUGAGGAGUCUGCAGGCGGGCCCUGGAGACAGAACUCCAGCUGAAAGCCCCCCCCCCCCGAGGGGCUAGGAAGUACUGACGCCAGCCCUCAUGUGGCACAGAAGGCGGCCACAGGCCCACCGUGCUGUGUGGCCACGGGCAUCGGGACUGCAGCGCAGGGUGUGUGAGGCUGGCCACAGGCUUGUCCCCUGAGCCAGUGACAUCCCGAUGAAUUCCCACUCAUGAGAGCAAAGCACCCCAGGGAACCGGUGGUUAAAUAGCCCCACGGAAUCUUCUGGAACAGCAAACCCAGGAGAUGGCCUCAGUCAUCAGGCAUUCAUGUGCAGCGGUCCUCAAUGGUCUCAGGGCCAGCGAGUGCCAGAGAGAAGCACCUGCUGGGUCGCACUGCCCUCUGUCCUGACAGUGCAUGACAGCGAGCGCCCCGCCGACGCCCACGUUGGGAGGAAGUGAGGACACUGCGGCGGCGCUUGGAAGUGGCCAGGAUGCACUUCGGAGCAGCGCCGGUCAGACGGGCCAUCCCACGAGGGCGCAUCGGGCCCAAGUGCAGUGUGGGCCUCGGUGAAGGUGCACAGGGCGUGGUGGCCCUGCAGGAGGAGGGUCAGCCGUGACGUGCUCUCGAGAGAGGCCUGGGCGGAGGACAGAAACUCUGCACCCUGAGUGCAGAGGUCCCCAAACACUCAGCAUAGACUCAGGAGGUGCUCCACCUGGGGUCCUCCCCGGGUCCGU
rnacentral:lncRNA from 1 species